rnacentral:lncRNA from 1 species
CUUACCAGGGCUAGGCAUCUGUGGGCUCCAAGGCACCAUCAUGGUCUGCAGAGUCACUGACAAGCACCUGUUCCAAACUGAUGGGAUUCUUGAUGUUAGCCUUCGACACCCUGAUGCCAUCUCUUCCUAUGCCACUUCUGAUGCAAAGAAGAAAAAAAUACUACAAAAUCCUACAAUUCAAAAGCAGCAGCAGCAGUGGCAGCAGCAGUUCUUGUGGCAUGCCAGGAAGACCAGGAGGCUUUCAAGGUCUCUGGAGGCUGGGUGUCUGCAUGGCCAAUUCAAACCACAGGAAGCUCCAUGGAACUGGCUCUUGGGGACUGCAAAUGACCAGGAGUUGUAAAUGCAGGCAAACCCG